AUUGAACGCUGGCGGCAUGCCUAACACAUGCAAGUCGAACGGUAACGCGGGGGCAACCCUGGCGACGAGUGGCGGACGGGUGAGUAAUACAUCGGAACGUGCCCAGUAGUGGGGGAUAGCCCGGCGAAAGCCGGAUUAAUACCGCAUACGACCUACGGGUGAAAGCGGGGGAUCGCAAGACCUCGCGCUAUUGGAGCGGCCGAUGUCAGAUUAGCUAGUUGGUGGGGUAAAAGCCUACCAAGGCGACGAUCUGUAGCUGGUCUGAGAGGACGACCAGCCACACUGGGACUGAGACACGGCCCAGACUCCUACGGGAGGCAGCAGUGGGGAAUUUUGGACAAUGGGGGGCAACCCUGAUCCAGCCAUGCCGCGUGCGGGAAGAAGGCC
rnacentral:rRNA from 1 species